rnacentral:rRNA from 1 species
CACACCGCCCGUCCUCCUACCGAUUGAAUGGUCCGGUGAAGUGUUCGGAUUGCUGCGACUGGGCGGUUCGCUGCCCCGACGUGGGUGAGAAGUCCCACUGACACCUUAUCAUUUAAGGAAGGAAAGAAGUCGUAACAAGUUCCCUGUAGGCGAACCUGCGGAAGGAUCA